rnacentral:lncRNA from 1 species
CUUCUAUGAUGAUAACAUGUUUUAACACUCUCUAGACGAUGCAGCAGCAGCAGGAGGAGGCAAGUCGCUCGCGUUUCCAUAUGCCUCCUUAAUCUUCAUCACAUCUGUCACGACCAUUCCGAAAUCAUCUAUUGCAUGAGGCAAGUCUUGCUUUUUUGGCGCACCAAAAUUAUAUUGGGCUGUUAAAACUACAAGUACAACUACAACACUCGCAACGUCAGAUGCAAAGAGAAGACACAAAUGCUC